rnacentral:rRNA from 1 species
AGAGUUUGAUCCUGGCUCAGGAUGAACGCUAGCGACAGGCUUAACACAUGCAAGUCGAGGGGCAGCGGAGGCGAGAGCUUGCUCUCGCCUGCCGGCGACCGGCGCACGGGUGAGUAACACGUAUGCAACCUGCCCUUUGCAGGAGGAUAACCGGGAGAAAUUCCGACUAAUACUGCAUAACACUCCCUUACCACAUGGUUUGGGAGUCAAAGGAAGCAAUUCCGGCAAAGGAUGGGCAUGCGGCGCAUUAGCCAGUUGGCGGGGUAACGGCCCACCAAAGCGACGAUGCGUAGGGGUUCUGAGAGGAAGGUCCCCCACAUUGGUACUGAGACACGGACCAAACUCCUACGGGAGGCAGCAGUGAGGAAUAUUGGUCAAUGGACGGAAGUCUGAACCAGCCAUGCCGCGUGCAGGAAGACGGCUCUAUGAGUUGUAAACUGCUUUUGUACAAGGGUAAACCUGAAUACGUGUAUUCAGCUGAAAGUACUGUACGAAUAAGGAUCGGCUAACUCCGUGCCAGCAGCCGCGGUAAUACGGAGGAUCCAAGCGUUAUCCGGAUUUAUUGGGUUUAAAGGGUGCGUAGGCGGAUUGAUAAGUUAGAGGUGAAAUGUCCGAGCUCAACUCGGGAACUGCCUCUAAUACUGUUGAUCUAGAGAGUAGAUGCGGUAGGCGGAAUGUAUGGUGUAGCGGUGAAAUGCUUAGAGAUCAUACAGAACACCGAUUGCGAAGGCAGCUUACCAAUCUAUAUCUGACGUUGAGGCACGAAAGCGUGGGGAGCAAACAGGAUUAGAUACCCUGGUAGUCCACGCAGUAAACGAUGAUAGCUCGUUGUCGGCGAUACACAGUCGGUGACUAAGAGAAAUCGAUAAGCUAUCCACCUGGGGAGUACGUUCGCAAGAAUGAAACUCAAAGGAAUUGACGGGGGCCCGCACAAGCGGAGGAACAUGUG